rnacentral:rRNA from 1 species
UACGGGGGGAGCAAGCGUUGUUCGGAUUUACUGGGCGUAAAGGGCGCGUAGGCGGCCACUGCAAGUCGGUUGUGAAAUCUCCGGGCUUAACCCGGAAAGGUCAAUCGAUACUGCAGGGCUGGAGUGCGGAAGGGGCAACUGGAAUUCUCGGUGUAGCGGUGAAAUGCGUAGAUAUCGAGAGGAACACCUGCGGCGAAGGCGGGUUGCUGGGCCGACACUGACGCUGACAGCGCGAAAGCUAGGGGAGCGAACGGG